GACAGAGGGGGCAAGCGUUGCUCGGAAUUACUGGGCGUAAAGGGCGUGUAGGCGGGAUGGCAAGUCGGUCGUGAAAGCCUUCGGCUCAACCGAAGAACGUCGGCCGAUACUGCCGUUCUUGAGGGAUGCAGAGGAGACUGGAAUUCCCGGUGUAGCGGUGAAAUGUGUAGAGAUCGGGAGGAACACCGGUGGCGAAGGCGGGUCUCUGGGCAUCUCCUGACGCUGAGGCGCGAAAGCGUGGGGAGCAAACGGG
rnacentral:rRNA from 1 species